CAGACAGUCAGUGAAUCUCACAUGGAAGAGUUUCUCUGUGGCCGGAGAGAUGGCGAGGAGGUCGAAGCUACGAUAUGCUGGAUCAGCUGGCCUCUGAAAACACACGGGUAAACACACACAGGUGACUGUCCCCGAACGCAGCGCAGCAGGUGAGGACACUCACCUGUUUCUUCUUGGUUGUGGGUUCAUGGACGUAGUUGAUGGCGACUGUGGAGAAACCAACUGCAGGAAAGGAAACAAACACAUCACUGAUCAGUUCACUGCUGUUAAUCAAUCAGUGAUUACUGAUCAGGUGGUUUUACUGAUCAGGUGUCACCACUUCAUCCACAACAUGGUCCACAAUCACAGAGUCUUUGUACAAUGAAGAAGUUCUGUGAGACCAGGACAGAGGCCUCCAGGUAGUUCACCAGCAGCUUUACAUCACCUGUCCAACACAGAGCACUGACAUUAAACUGUUUAUGUUCAGUAUUUGAUCUUCAGUCUGAACACUUAAUAAUUUCUCAAAACAUACUACGCAGACAUUAGAGAUAUUUAAAAUACAUUUUAAUUUGCUAUGUGCAAGUAGAGAGUAGUUGGCGUUUCUGAAUUAGAAAGUCAUUUUUGAUAUUAACUGUAAAAUAGAGAAACUCAACUCAGAAGUGAAGUUACAGAACUUUAUUCAGUCUGUUCUUAGCAUACCUCUCAGAACAUCAUGAGGGUUUGGCUGCUGCUGUUGUCCUCUUCAGGUGAUGCAGUCGCCUCCUCCUGCAGAGACAGAACAUGUUGAUCACAAAAACUGUCCAAAGCCUCAAGUCCUGAAACUUAGUUGGACAUUUUCUGGCAUGGACCGCACAAUAUACUAUGACAUUUUAACAGGUUUUUCACGUCUUACUAUAACGUUUUUAUGGUAUUUUUGACAUCAUAAUAUACUAUGACGUUUUUUAUAAUAGUUUUGACGCCAUACUUUACUAUUACAUUUUUUAUAGUUUUUUUGACACCAUACUUUACUAUGAUGUUUUUAUGGUAUUUUUGACAUCAUACAAUAUUAUGACGUUUUUAUGGUAUUUUUGACAUCAUACAUUACUAUUACAUUUUUUAUAGUAUUUUUGA